rnacentral:lncRNA from 1 species
UUGGGAAGGCUGUACGGACAAGGUGGUAUGGUGUGGAGAGAUGAAGGGUGGUGUUAGACGAUGAUUAGUUGGGAAGAAAAGAGAAAAACUGGGGCACCCAUGAGCUUACAUAUAAGAAAAUACCUCAGGGAAGUGAAGGAACGGGCUGCUGAGGGAAGAGCACUCCAGAUCAUGGAUGUCCAGUGCAAAGAGCCUGGGGUGGGGCAGAAGCAAGCCUGGCAUUGUGGAGGAACAGAUGGUCUGGACACGCCAAUGAUUAUAAAGCAUAUGAUGAUGAUAUAGGAUAAAGGAAGAGAGGAGUUAAUUAAAUAUGACACCGAUGUUUUUAUCCUGAACAAAUGGAAGGAAGGAAUUGCUGAAAUAGAGACGUCUCUGAAGAGCAGAAGCUGCUUUGAACAUUGCAGUUUGAAAUACCUAUUAGACCUCUGCUUGGAGAUCCCAA